UACGUAGGGUGCAAGCGUUGUCCGGAAUUAUUGGGCGUAAAGAGCUCGUAGGCGGUUUGUCGCGUCUGCUGUGAAAACUCGGGGCUUAACCCCGGGCCUGCAGUGGGUACGGGCAGACUAGAGUGCGGUAGGGGAGACUGGAAUUCCUGGUGUAGCGGUGAAAUGCGCAGAUAUCAGGAGGAACACCGGUGGCGAAGGCGGGUCUCUGGGCCGUAACUGACGCUGAGAAGCGAAAGCAUGGGGAGCGAACAGG
rnacentral:rRNA from 1 species